GUAGGGUGCGAGCGUUAAUCGGAAUUACUGGGCGUAAAGCGUGCGCAGGCGGUUCUGCAAGUCAGAUGUGAAAUCCCCGGGCUUAACCUGGGAACUGCGUUUGAAACUACGGAGCUAGAGUACGGCAGAGGGGGGUGGAAUUCCACGUGUAGCAGUGAAAUGCGUAGAUAUGUGGAGGAACACCGAUGGCGAAGGCAGCCCCCUGGGCCGAUACUGACGCUCAGGCACGAAAGCGUGGGGAGCAAACAGGAUUAGAUACCCUGGUAGUCCACGCCCUAAACUAUGUCAACUAGUUGUCGGGGAAGCAAUUCCUUGGUAACGAAGCUAACGCGUGAAGUUGACCGCCUGGGGAGUACGGUCGCAAGAUUA
rnacentral:rRNA from 1 species